UCAAGUGUUCUCUUUCUCCUUAUUCUCUUCUGUCUCUCCCAAUUGAGAGUGUGUCUCCAAGGAUCUCCAUUGCAAUCCUUGGAUUUGGAGGGUAGAAUAUUGCCUAGCGAUUGCCUUACGAGAUCGUCACAUCCUUUCGUUUGUUUGCUAUUUGUGCGGAUCGACGCGAGGUGCAACCUGAUUCAUUCCGCUACGAGAAAAGCUAUACUGAGUGAUAUGGCCACUAAUCAUGUUGUUGCGGACCUCACCAAAGGUGACAAAUUGACUAGACCUAACUUUGACAUGUGGCAUCGAAAGAUUUAAUAUUUGCUCAAUGAGAAAAACUAUCUUGAGUAUUUGACCAAUGUUAUGGACAAAUCCACUGAAGGUACUACCGCUCAGCACCGUCGUGAUAUGGAAGCCUAUAAUCAGUGGGUGAAUAAAGAUCGCAAUAUGCAUUUUUUAUUAAGCUAUGCAUGAUGAGUUGAUUCGUGAUUACGAGAAACACACCACAACUAAGUCCAUGUGGGACUAGCUGAACACUGACUUCGGAGGUACAUCUACUACAAGGUUAAAGGGUAUGUAUGACCUUAAAGUUUGAGAUGUAUAAGAUCGAUCUUAAGCACACUAUUCCUGAACACCUUAGGGUGGUGAAGGAUAUGAUUUGGAAGCUGAAAGAUGUUGGGACCACUCUCAUUGAUGAACAGCAGGUUUAAGA